CAGUGCCGCAGCUAACGCAUUAAGCAUUCCGCCUGGGGAGUACGACCGCAAGGUUGAAACUCAAAGGAAUUGACGGGGGCCCGCACAAGCGGUGGAGCAUGUGGUUUAAUUCGAAGCAACGCGAAGAACCUUACCAGGUCUUGACAUCUUUUGAUCACCUGAGAGAUCAGGUUUCCCCUUCGGGGGCAAAAUGACAGGUGGUGCAUGGUUGUCGUCAGCUCGUGUCGUGAGAUGUUGGGUUAAGUCCCGCAACGAGCGCAACCCUUAUGACUAGUUGCCAGCAUUUAGUUGGGCACUCUAGUAAGACUGCCGGUGACAAACCGGAGGAAGGUGGGGAUGACGUCAAAUCAUCAUGCCCCUUAUGACCUGGGCUACACACGUGCUACAAUGGAUGGUACAACGAGUUGCGAGACCGCGAGGUCAAGCUAAUCUCUUAAAGCCAUUCUCAGUUCGGACUGUAGGCUGCAACUCGCCUACACGAAGUCGGAAUCGCUAGUAAUCGCGGAUCAGCACGCCGCGGUGAAUACGUUCCCGGGCCUUGUACACACCGCCCGUCACACCAUGAGAGUUUGUAACACCCGAAGCCGGUGGCGUAACCCUUUUAGGGAGCGAGCCGUCUAAGGUGGGACAAAUGAUUAGGGUGAAGUCU
rnacentral:rRNA from 1 species